rnacentral:rRNA from 1 species
GACGAACGCUGGCGGCGUGCUUAACACAUGCAAGUCGAACGGAAAGGCCCUGCUUUUGUGGGGUGCUCGAGUGGCGAACGGGUGAGUAACACGUGAGUAACCUGUCCUUGACUUUGGGAUAACUUCAGGAAACUGGGGCUAAUACCGGAUAGGAGCUCCUGCUGCAUGGUGGGGGUUGGAAAGUUUCGGCGGUUGGGGAUGGACUCGCGGCUUAUCAGCUUGUUGGUGGGGUAGUGGCUUACCAAGGCUUUGACGGGUAGCCGGCCUGAGAGGGUGACCGGCCACAUUGGGACUGAGAUACGGCCCAGACUCCUACGGGAGGCAGCAGUGGGGAAUAUUGCACAAUGGGCGGAAGCCUGAUGCAGCAACGCCGCGUGCGGGAUGACGGCCUUCGGGUUGUAAACCGCUUUCGCCUGUGACGAAGCGUGAGUGACAGUAAUGGGUAAAGAAGCACCGGCUAACUACGUG